GCCCGGGUGGCUCAGUCAGUUAAACAUCUGACUUCGGCUCAGGUCAUGAGCUCACAGUUUGUGGGUUCGAGCCCCACAUCGGGCC
rfam:Felis catus isolate Cinnamon breed Abyssinian chromosome B3, whole genome shotgun sequence.